GGUUGUAUAGUGUAGCGGUUAUCACUGUAAGCUCUCCUCCUAUCGUCUUCCCAGCGCAUUCGAUGCUGAUUCCCUCCAGCCGGAUUUUGAUCACACUCAAAGUCUUCCGGUAACCCCGGUUCGAACCCGGGUACGACCU
rnacentral:tRNA from 1 species